rnacentral:rRNA from 1 species
CGGAGGAUGCGAGCGUUAUCCGGAUUUAUUGGGUUUAAAGGGUGCGUAGGCUGUUUGUUAAGUCAGCGGUGAAAUCUAGAGGCUCAACCUCGAAACUGCCGUUGAAACUGGCGAACUUGAGUGUAGAUGAGGUAGGCGGAAUUCGUGGUGUAGCGGUGAAAUGCAUAGAUAUCACGAGGAACUCCGAUUGCGAAGGCAGCUUACUAAGGUACAACUGACGCUGAAAGCACGAAAGCGUGGGGGUAUCAAACAGGAUU